rnacentral:rRNA from 1 species
GAUUAACGCUGGCGGUAUGCCUAAUACAUGCAAGUCGAAUGAUUAAGACUCCCUUCGGGGAGUGCAUAAAGUGGCGCACGGGUGAGUAACACGUAGGUAAUGUACCUUUGGGUGGGGAAUAACUUAGGGAAACUCAAGCUAAUACCGCAUAAUGCAGCGGCUCGACAUCGAGACAGUUGUUAAAGAUUUAUCGCCUAAAGAGCAGCCUGCGGCAGAUUAGCUAGUUGGUAAGGUAAUGGCUUUCCAAGGCUACGAUCUGUAACCGACCUGGGAGGGUGGUCGGUCACACUGACACUGAAUAACGGGUCAUACUCCUACGGGAGGCAGCAUUCGUGAAUUUUGGGCAAUGGGCGCAAGCCUGACCCAGCAACGCCGCGUUAAGGAUGAAGUAUUUCGGUAUGUAAACUUCGUAAGAAUAGGAAGAAUAAAUGACGGUACUAUUUGUAAGGUCCGGCUAACUACGUGCCAGCCGCCGCCGUAACAC